rnacentral:rRNA from 1 species
AUUGAACGCUUGCGGCAGGCCUAACACAUGCAAGUCGAACGAGUGGCGGACGGGUGAGUAAUGUCUGGGAAACUGCCCGAUGGAGGGGGAUAACUACUGGAAACGGUAGCUAAUACCGCAUACCAUCGGAUGUGCCCAGAUGGGAUUAGCUAGUAGGUGGGGUAACGGCUCACCUAGGCGACGAUCCCUAGCUGGUCUGAGAGUAUGACCAGGCACACUGGAACUGAGAUACGGUCCAGAAUCCUACGGGAGGCAGCAGAAGGGAGUAUUGCACAAUGGGAGCAAACCUGAUGCAACAAAGCGGCGUGUAUGAAGAAGGCCUUCGGGUUGUAAAGUACUUUCAGCGAGGAGGCGUUACUAGCAGAAGAAGCACCGGCUAAAUCCGUGCCAGCAGCCGCGGUAAUAC